UUUGAGGGAUCGGGUAGAGGAGGGAAAAGACCUCGCUCCCGAGAGAACCAGAAGGACAGAGGGGACUACUGCCCUCCUACCCGGGCCCCCGCCCUCAGGAGUGCCCUGCUCUUCUUCCCGUCUCUCGGCAGAUCGCUCAGGUCCCCCUGCCGCGGGGCGCACAGAUCUGGGGCUCACUUCUCCUGCGGGCCCCGGGGAGGGGCAGCCCCGACUCUGCCCGCUUGCCCGCCUGUGUGGGAGCAGGAGGUGAGCAGCGUCGGACCGGGCUGCGGUCUCGGCCGGGGGAAGGGCGGCUGUCCCGGAGCUCGGCCUGAGGCUGAGCCCUGCGUGUUGGGCAGAGCCGGGAAGAGGCUCUGAGCCCUCUGGGCUAGGAGGUACGGAAACGACGCGAGGGUAUCCGCGGCAGUCACACCCCUCCGCACUCCAGAGUGAAGGCCCGACUUCCUUGGGCCGAGUUGGGCCUGCAGAAACGAUCUCAUCUGCCCCUAGGAGGCCCCGGGCCACGAGACAGCCAAUCGAAACAAGACCGUGGUGGCUUCCAGCCAAUCAGCACCAAGAAACGCCGCUGAGGCGGGCCCGCGGAUGAAGCCGCCUGUGAGGCGAGGGCCCAGGCAGUGUGGGCGGGGCAUUCCUCCGCGGAAGCGGUCCUGCCCCUCUUCCCGCGGAUUGGCUGCACCGGAUCGCCGGAAGUGUCUUUCUCGCCGUCGCCGGACCACGCUGGCGUGGACGCUCCGGUUCCUCCGGGUCCUCCUGUGGCCCGCGGGUGUCUGGUUGCGGCCGUGAGGGCCUGUCUGUCCGUUCGUCCUUCCAUUCCAUCCGUUCGAGAGCCCUCCGUGCUGCCGCGCUGCUGGCGGUGUUCAGUAGCCGGGACAUUAGCGGCUGUGAGGGGUAGCCGGCGUGAGGGGACCACGCCGAGGAUGCCCUCUUAGGGGCUGUUCAGAAGGGUGAGAAUGAGACCCGUGCAAGAGAAGAGAACCCGAAAAGGUUCACAGAACCGGGAUGCCAGACGGUGUCGCUUGUCAUCGACCUGUCCUCAUUUGGGAGAGCUCGAAUGCUUUCCUCCUACCCCACAGGUCCCCUCUGAGCACUGUGGUCCAGCUACUACUCAAGCCUCAACGACCAGCCUUCUCAGCUCUUGGGCACCCCUCUUUCCUUUCCUGCAGGCACCUACAGCCAACCGCUGCUGAAACAAACCUUUCUGCGCUGCCCGCCCGUCCAUUUCAGAAUCUCCCGUCUCAGGUGGUCCCUUGCCCCCCUGGUCACAGGCAACCACUAAGCACCGUCAAAUGGGUAUACCUGUUGAUAUGUGUGUUGCCCCCUCAGGCUAUGACCCCUUCAGGGGCAUGGACAGUAGACUUCUGAGCUCUGAUGUCACAACUCUGAACACACUGACAGUGGACCAAAAACGGAGUUAAGCAACACACCUCCCUUUCCCCCGCAGUCAGAGUCGGUCCUUUCUCUCCAUCCCAGUCCUUGUCCUCUCUCCGUGGACCGCUGUGAGCCAUUCCCACUCUGCCCAAUUCAAUAGCUGCCUCACCUAGGAAGCCACCUUUCCUUUUCACGUGCCUCCCCUCCUGGCAUGGCAGGGGCCCACCUCUCCCAAACCCCACCUUACAGGUGUUGGGCAUCUAUCUUGACCACUCACCUUUUUCUCCCAGGGCUGUGAUUCAGGUCACUCAUGGCUUCCUGCUCUCAGAGACCUUGGCUAUGUGAAUAAACCAUUGAAUAAAAUGGCUGAUAAAUUA